GUCCACAGCUCGGUGUGGUUGUGCCGACACAUGCCUUGACUCUUCCAGAAGAACCAAUCACAGGGCCCGGACAGUACUGGUGUAAUGUCACAGUGAACGGAGUGGACUCAGUCAGGGUGCUCAUGUCUGUGGUGCCGUUUGUGGAGCCCAGUCAACGGUUGCUGAUGAAGAAAGAGGCAAAGCAAGAACAGUCGGAUUCAGAAUAGUGUUUUCUUUGCUAAAAAUGUCGUGCAGGAAACAACUUGGAGAAUAUACACAAGUCAUUUGUACAAAUAAAAUGAUUUUUGUUUAUUUA